rnacentral:lncRNA from 1 species
UAGAUGAAAGACAUCAUGCCGGUGUUGGUCUACGUGGCGGCAGGAUACGCCGUCUACGCUACAUUGAAGAAGCUCAAAUGCGAAAAAUGCAGGGAGGCACCGACAGCAAACAA